UCUGUCUCCUGAAUCCAAAGUGUAAAUGGUUCUACAAAGGAACCUGAGACUUGAAGGCUCUGCCUCGCAUUCUACUUUUAGAGGCUCUAGGAACGACAAGCAAGCCUGUAGUCGUUGAUCAAAGUGCUCUACUGGGAUAAUAUGGCACAGUGAGAUCUGUAAGUUAUCAUGGCACAUGAUAAUUCAAAACUUUGUAUCUCAGGAGAAAGAUUUUAACAUUAGAACCACCUGUGUAAUACUGUGUAGCUGACCUACCAUAGAUGAACACAAGACUUUGACAGUGAAUUCUUUCAGGAGGUUGGAGCGUUCAUGGAUUGUUGUCAGCAGUUUGUGCCGUUAACACAAGGGACGCUUCACAGUCACAGUAACAAUAAAUGCCAGAACCAUAGACUGCAUAUAAAACAUGAAUGUAGCUUUGGCGUUUGGAAAGUGAAGCCAGUAAUUCAGCUUUCAGUAUUCCUGAUGGCCGUGAGGAGGGAACUCAUUUGGUUUCGAAAAUAAUUCUUCUUCUAUGGAAGUCUGGAAAACAAAGACUUUGAUCCACAACCUCAGGAAACACUUUCCUGAUGAAUUCGUGGCCAGAGUCACUAGUUUCAAGUCUUAUUUAAUACAAUGUGACUUUCAUUGUAUAAAUUAUGUUCUCCUUUGUGUAACUGACAACUUGCAAGCCUUUGAGCGUGUGCCUCAAUUAAACAGUGAAAUCCACACUCACUUGUCACAUCCCAGAUUCAACAUGUCUAGACUGUCACGGCAAAAGUGCACAGCUUGAGGCUUCAUAACAAGUUUUUGCAAACUAAUGGAUGGACUCACAACAGUGACAGUCUGUGGCAUAAUGUUGCUUUCUAAAGAUAUGACCGGUGUUUUCUUUUGGCUUUUUUUUUAUAUAUAUAUUUUCUCAUUUUUUUCUGAAUUACAAUAUAUGAGAUUAUUUUCUUGUUCAUCCCAUAAGAGCACUCAGUUUCAUAACAAGAAACCGAGGGUUCUUCAUGUCUGGUUCAGACAUGAAAUUAACCAAAACAUUGGUCCAACUCAUGCAUUUGCCACAACAAAGAAGGCAGAUGUUGUAAAUUCUCCUCAGCAUCAACUCCACAUGCCAUCGUCCCUAUUCUUCAUCUCAUUACUUGGCAUAUAUAAUCUCUGGUUGUACUGUGGCUUUUUGGGGCAGGGAGACAGAGUGAACUAUAAAGGGUUUUAUACAAGCUGAGGAGUGGAGUUAAACUGGAAGGCAGUCUGCAUGUUUGUAUGGAAACAAUUCUUUCAUGAGUUGCAAUUCUGUUUGAUUCCAGAUGUAAAAAGCCACAGGGAGAGAAAGAUGCAUAUCAGUCUUGACACCUAAAUCCAGGAUGAUGCUGCACUUGAAGUGCUAUCCUAACCUCACCGAAAGACUACAUUUAGCAAAAGUAUUCUCUGUGCAUUUCUUUUCCUAAGCAAUAAUGAUUCUGAACAAGCAGGAUAGAAAUUCUUCCAGUUAUAUUAAAGGAUCCACAUACUUUUUUGGGGAAGAAAAGUGAGUUAGGUAACUUUAAACUUUGCAUAUUUGUUGGUGUAAGACAGGCUGGUCUGAGUAUUUCAGAAACUGUUGAUCUGCUAGGAUUUUCCCACACAACCAUCUCUGGGGAUUAAAAAGAGGAACAUAUGCAGUGAGCAGCAGUCCUUUGAGUAAAAAUGCCUUGUUGAUGUCAGAGGAGAAUGGCGAGACUGCUUCAAGAUAAUAGGAAAGCAGAAAUAACUCAAAUAACCACUCAUAUCAACCAAGGUGUGUAGAAAGACAUCUCUGAAUAACACAUUGAAUCCUGUAGCAGAUGGUCUACAACAGCAGAAGACUACAUCAGGUCCCACUCCUGUCAACUAAGACAGCACAGGCUCACCAAAAUUGGAAAUUAGAAGACUGGAAAAACAAUAUGAGCAACAUUCAGAAGGGAAGCACGUUUUCUUUCUGGCUGCUUCUCUGUGGUCUGACCAGGAACUAACUCAUCCUUAUUCUAGAAAGUGAACCACAACAUGUGGCAACAGAGCCCACAAACAUGAGCUCAUUCCUCUUGAGGGGAAACUAGCAACUGAAAAAAACAGAGAUAGAAAGAGAGAAAGUCCCAGUGUUCCUCUCCACAUCCAUUUGUCUUUGGACUA